AUUGAACGCUAGCGGCAGGCUUAAUACAUGCAAGUCGUGGGGCAGCGCAGGUAGCAAUACUGGGCGGCGACCGGCAAACGGGUGCGGAACACGUACACAACCUUCCGAGAAGUGGGGAAUAGCCCAGAGAAAUUUGGAUUAAUACCCCGUAACAUAACGAUGUGGCAUCACAUUGUUAUUAUAGCUUCGGCGCUUCUUGAUGGGUGUGCGGCUGAUUAGAUAGUUGGCGAGGUAACGGCCCACCAAGUCUACGAUCAGUAGCUGAUGUGAGAGCAUGAUCAGCCACACGGGCACUGAGACACGGGCCCGACUCCUACGGGAGGCAGCAGUAAGGAAUAUUGGUCAAUGGACGCAAGUCUGAACCAGCCAUGCCGCGUGAAGGAUUAAGGUCCUCUGGAUUGUAAACUUCUUUUAUCUGGGACGAAAAAAGGCGAUUCUUCGUCACUUGACGGUACCAGAUGAAUAAGCACCGGCUAACUCCGUGCCAGCCGCCGCGGUAACAC
rnacentral:rRNA from 1 species